rnacentral:rRNA from 1 species
AGGGUUUCCGCCCUUUAGUGCUGAAGUUAACGCAUUAAGCACUCCGCCUGGGGAGUACGGCCGCAAGGCUGAAACUCAAAGGAAUUGACGGGGGCCCGCACAAGCGGUGGAGCAUGUGGUUUAAUUCGAAGCAACGCGAAGAACCUUACCAG